rnacentral:snoRNA from 1 species
UUAUAGUAAUGGUGACUAGAGCGUGAUUAACAGCCUUCCAUAGCUCCUCGAGCUGUGGAUGCAGUAGAUGAUCGUUCUUAGACCGGAGAUCUCGGGUCUAAGAUGGUCUCAUGGCUGUCUGA